AACGCAUAUUGCGCUUCCUGGUAUUCCGGGGAGCAUGCCCGUUUCAGAAUCAAUAAAAAACCUCACCCAGCCGGGCUUGCCCUAGCGAGGUGGAUUUGGAUUUUUGCGUUUUUGCAAUCUUCUCAAAAUCAUUGUAUGUGCACCCAAUCGAUGUUUCUUUUGGUUGUCCAAAGUGCAACAGAUUUUUCUAUUCACUCAAGGCAAUCGAUUGGCAUCUUGGUCGUUCGUACUCCAACACAAAUUACGGACUACAGAUCGGUAUGAUCUGGAAAUCUGAGAACUUGAUCUGAAAUCGGGCAGGAAAACCCGCUGAACUUAA
rnacentral:misc_RNA from 1 species